AUUUGCAUAGUUUAAAAUAAACAUUACAUUUUCAUUGUAAAAUUAGACCAAGUCUUGUAAAUA
rnacentral:tRNA from 1 species